GGAGUGCGGUCGCAAGAUUAAAACUCAAAGGAAUAGACGGGGACCCGCACAAGUGGUGGAGCAUGUGGUUUAAUUCGAAGAUACGCGAAGAACCUUACCUAGCCUUGACAUAUUUUAGAACACUUUAGAGAUAGAGUGGUGCCUUCGGGAGCUAAUAUACAGGUGCUGCACGGCUGUCGUCAGCUCGUGUCGUGAGAUGUUGGGUUAAGUCCCGCAACGAGCGCAACCCUCGUCACUAGUUACUAACGGUUCGGCCGAGGACUCUAGUGAGACUGCCUUCGUAAGGAGGAGGAAGGUGAGGACGACGUCAAGUCAUCAUGGCCCUUACGGCUAGGGCAACACACGUGCUACAAUGGCCAGGACAAUGAGAAGCGAUACCGCGAGGUGGAGCAAAUCUAUAAACCUGGUCUCAGUUCGGAUUGUAGUCUGCAACUCGACUACAUGAAGCUGGAAUCACUAGUAAUUGUAGAUCAGCUAUGCUACGGUGAAUACGUUCCCGGGUCUUGCACACACCGCCCGU
rnacentral:rRNA from 1 species